GCCUGGACAACUCAGUUGGGCUAGAGUAUGAUGCUGAUAAUACCAAGGCUACAAGUUUGAUCCUUGUAUGAGGCA